rnacentral:rRNA from 1 species
CGCGCAGGCGGGUUAGCUAGUCAGUGGUGAAAUCCUACAGCUUAACUGUAGAACUGCCUUUGAUACUGCUAAUCUUGAGUAUGGAAGAGAGAGACGGAAUUCCAGGUGUAGUGGUGAAAUACGUAGAUAUCUGGAAGAACACCAGUUGCGAAGGCGGUCUCUUGGUCCAAUACUGACGCUGAGGCGCGAAAGCGUGGGGAGCAAACA